rnacentral:rRNA from 1 species
UACGUAGGGACCGAGCGUUGUCCGGAUUCAUUGGGCGUAAAGAGCUCGUAGGCGGCUGUUCAAGUCGAACGUGAAAACUCGGAGCUCAACUCCGAGCCUGCGUUCGAUACUGGACGGCUAGAGUCUGGUAGGGGGAUCUGGAAUUCCUGGUGUAGCGGUGGAAUGCGUAGAUAUCGGGAAGAACACCGGAGGCGAAGGCGGCUCACUGGGCCGGAUCCGACACUGAGGCGCGAAAGCGUGGGGAGCAAACAGG